rnacentral:rRNA from 1 species
UACAGAGGGUGCGAGCGUUGUCCGGAAUCACUGGGCGUAAAGGGCGCGUAGGCGGCCUGAUAAGUCGGGGGUGAAAUCCUGUGGCUCAACCACAGGGCUGCCUCCAGGACUGUCGGGCUCGAGCACAGUAGAGGCAGGUGGAAUUCCCGGUGUAGCGGUGGAAUGCGUAGAGAUCGGGAAGAACAUCGGUGGCGAAGGCGGCCUGCUGGGCUGUUGCUGACGCUGAGGCGCGACAGCGUGGGGAGCAAACAGG